rnacentral:ribozyme from 1 species
UUUUUUUUUUUUUUUUUUCACUUUUGGAAGUCGCUUUCCAAUUCGUAUAAUUCGUAUAA